CGAACAACUCCAGACGCGCUGCCUUAAGUGCUGUAAUAUGGCGAAGGUCUGCAGUUUCACUCUUGAGCCAGGGAGACCACGAACUGGGCGGGAACACCAGAAGGAAGAAACUCCAGACGCGCCACCUUAAGAGCUGUAACACUCACCGCGAGGGUCUGCGGCUUCAUUCUUGAAGUCAGUGAGACCAAGAACCCACCAAUUCCGGACACAGAACAAUUAAAACCCCUGCAAAUUACAUAUGAAACAAGUUUAAGAGGACUUUGAGAGAUGAAGAAAAGCAGGCAGACCAGCCAGGGACCUUGCAGCCUGAAGAAGGACAGGAAGUCCAGGCCGGAGUGCAGUGGUGUGAUCUCGGCUCACUGCGACCUUCAUCUCCUGGGUUCAAGAGAUUCUCCUGCCUCAGCCUCCUGACUAGCUGGGAUUACAGGUGUGCACCACUACACUCGGCUAAUUUUUGUAUUUUUAGUAGAGACGGGGUUUCACCAUUGUGUGUGUGUGUGUUUGUGUGUGUGUAUGUGUGUGUAUACUUGGAGGAAUAAAUGAUAAGUAUUUGAGAUGGUGGAUAUGUUACUUAGACUCAACAUUCCACACUUAUACGUAUUAUUGGAUCACUUUGUAUCUCAUAAAUAU
rnacentral:lncRNA from 10 species